UAGNUNGUUGAUCAUGGCUCAGAUUGUACGCUGGCGGCAUGCUUUACACAUGCAAGUCGAACGGUAACAGGUCUUCGGAUGCUGACGAGUGGCGAACGGGUGAGUAAUACACCGGAACGUGCCUAGUAGUGGGGGAUAACUACUCGAAAGAGUAGCUAAUACCGCAUGAGAUCUACGGAUGAAAGCAGGGGGACCUUCGGGCCUUGUGCUACUAGAGCGGCUGAUGGCAGAUUAGGUAGUUGGUGGGGUAAAGGCUUACCAAUGCCUGCGUAUCUGUAGCUGGUCUGAGAGGACGACCAGCCACACUGGGACUGAGACACAGNGUCCCAGACUCCU
rnacentral:rRNA from 1 species